UACGUAGGGUGCAAGCGUUAAUCGGAAUUACUGGGCGUAAAGCGUGCGCAGGCGGUUAUGUAAGACAGGUGUGAAAUCCCCGGGCUUAACCUGGGAACUGCAUUUGUGACUGCAUAGCUAGAGUACGGUAGAGGGGGAUGGAAUUCCGCGUGUAGCAGUGAAAUGCGUAGAUAUGCGGAGGAACACCGAUGGCGAAGGCGGCUCGCUGGGCCAGUUCUGACACUCAUCCGCGAAAGCGUGGGGAGCAAACAGG
rnacentral:rRNA from 1 species